ACUAGUCAUUGGAUGAGUACAAUUUAAAUCCACUUAACAGAGUAUCCAUUGGAGGGCAAGUCUGGUGCCAGCAGCCGCGGUAAUUCCAGCUCCAAUAGCGUAUAUUAAAGUUGUUGCAGUUAAAAAGCUCGUAGUUGAAUUUCGGAGGAGAGUACUUGGUCUCGGUUCUGCCUGUUUACCAAAAAGGUAAAUACUUUUUUCUGGGUAAACAGGGAAUGAAGAUGUGCUUUAUCGGGGGACUUUGGAUGAACACCUUGAAAAAAAAAUAGAGUGAAUAAAGUGUUCUUGCAAGAUUCGAUAAAAUGCUUGGAAUAAUAAGAUGGAAUAAUAAAUUUGGACGUUGGAUCUCAUUUUAUUGGGUUGAAGGAUCACUGGCAUGGGCAAUGGGAUUCCUAACCUAAAGGCAAUUCCGAAGCUAGAGG
rnacentral:rRNA from 1 species